CGUGACAUAAUUUUUAUAUACAAAUAUUUCUUUACUUACCUAAAAGAAAUUAUGUCCCUUGAAAUACUCUUUUCUAGUGAAUUCUUAAGAUGCACAUUCUUUUGUAUAUUAGGCGAGAGCAACACCUUUUUUAUUAUCGUCCCACUGCGUCUUUUUUCAUUCAAUUCUUAUCUCUCUCCCUCCAAUAUUUUUACACUCUCUCUCUCUUUUAUUUCUCUUAAUUUACUUUUACUUUCCAUCUCUCCUACAUUUUUCCUAUUAUCUCUCUCUCCAUCCUAUAUGCAUGCAAAUAUAUAAAAAUAUAUAACUCUUUUUGUUGUGUGAUGACAACUCAUCUUC
rnacentral:lncRNA from 1 species